CUACGGGCUGCUGCAGUGGGGAAUAUUGCACAAUGGAGGAAACUCUGAUGCAGCAACGCCGCGUGGAGGAUGACACUUUUCGGAGCGUAAACUCCUUUUAUAUAGGAAGAUAAUGACGGUACUAUAUGAAUAAGCACCGGCUAACUCCGUGCCAGCAGCCGCGGUAAUACGGAGGGUGCAAGCGUUACUCGGAAUCACUGGGCGUAAAGAGCGUGUAGGCGGGUUAAUAAGUCAGAAGUGAAAUCCUAUGGCUCAACCAUAGAACUGCUUUUGAAACUGUUAACCUAGAGUGUGGGAGAGGUAGAUGGAAUUUCUGGUGUAGGGGUAAAAUCCGUAGAGAUCAGAAGGAAUACCGAUUGCGAAGGCGAUCUACUGGAACAUAACUGACGCUGAGACGCGAAAGCGUGGGGAGCAAACAGGAUUAGAUACCCCAGUAGUC
rnacentral:rRNA from 1 species